rnacentral:rRNA from 1 species
GAUGAACGCUGGCGGCGUGCCUAAUACAUGCAAGUCGAGCGAACAGACGAGGAGCUUGCUCCUCUGACGUUAGCGGCGGACGGGUGAGUAACACGUGGAUAACCUACCUAUAAGACUGGGAUAACUUCGGGAAACCGGAGCUAAUACCGGAUAAUAUAUUGAACCGCAUGGUUCAAUAGUGAAAGACGGUUUUGCUGUCACUUAUAGAUGGAUCCGCGCCGCAUUAGCUAGUUGGUAAGGUAACGGCUUACCAAGGCAACGAUGCGUAGCCGACCUGAGAGGGUGAUAGGCCACACGGGAACGGAGACACGGUCCAGACUCCUACGGGAGGCAGCAGUAGGGAAUCUUCCGCAAUGGGCGAAAGCCUGACGGAGCAACGCCGCGUGAGUGAUGAAGGUCUUCGGAUCGUAAAACUCUGUUAUUAGGGAAGAACAAAUGUGUAAGUAACUAUGCACGUCUUGACGGUACCUAAUCAGAAAGCCACGGCUAACUACGUG